GAUGAACGCUGGCGGCGUGCUUAACACAUGCAAGUCGAACGGGAAACCUUUUAUUGAAGCUUCGGCAGAUUUAGCUGGUUUCUAGUGGCGGACGGGUGAGUAACGCGUGGGUAACCUGCCUUAUACAGGGGGAUAACAGUCAGAAAUGGCUGCUAAUACCGCAUAAGCGCACAGAGCUGCAUGUCUCAGUUUGAAAAACUCCGGUGGUAUAAGAUGGACCAGCGUUGGAUUAGCUGGUUGGUGGGGUAACGGCCCACCAAGGCGACGAUCCAUAGCCGGCCUGAGAGGGUGAACGGCCACAUUGGGACUGAGACACGGCCCAGACUCCUACGGGAGGCAGCAGUGGGGAAUAUUGCACAAUGGGGGAAACCCUGAUGCAGCGACGCCGCGUGAAGGAAGAAGUAUCUCGGUAUGUAAACUUCUAUCAGCAGGGAAGAUAAUGACGGUACCUGACGAAGAAGCCCCGGCUAACUACGUG
rnacentral:rRNA from 1 species